rnacentral:rRNA from 1 species
UACGAAGGUCCCAAGCGUUAUCCGGAUUUAUUGGGUUUAAAGGGUGCGUAGGCGGUUUAUUAAGUCAGUGGUGAAAGCUCCAUGCCUAACAUGGAAAUUGCCAUUGAUACUGAUGAUCUUGAGUACAUUUGAAGUGGGCGGAAUGUGUCAUGUAGCGGUGAAAUGCUUAGAUAUGACACAGAACACCGAUUGCGAAGGCAGCUCGCUAAACUGUAACUGACGCUGAGGCACGAAAGCGCGGGGAGCAAACAGG